rnacentral:lncRNA from 1 species
CCAUGUAGGUUGAGGAGAGAGUGGUGAUGCAUGCGGCGUGGCAGGAGUGGCGCAACACGACAAGUCCGUCAAAGCGGAGGUGUCGGUGGCAAUCACGAAAGCGCAUGCUCCUCAACUAACAGGUACAUUUCACAGUUUUUGUAAAUAAUACAAUUUGUGCCUUGGUGAAGAAGAGGGUGGAUAAUGUGUUGGAAAUAGAAUAACCAGCACCAACAUAUUUGUAAUCAAGUAUUGACACUUUAGGACAGUCACACAUACAAACCUUCUUGUCCGAAUUAUAAAGUAUAUGGACAUAAAAGAAAAAAUAGCAAAUAGGAGUAAUGAACUUGUCACUUCAACUAGGCUACACAUUUUCAGGUCGGUUACUUUUUCAUUAUCCGCCAAACCUGCAUGCAGAAGCAAUAGAGUAGUAAGUUUCAUGUGCAAAAUUUGUACACCAGAUUAUACAAUGACAUCCAGCAUCACAUCAUGACAGUAAAUUUGUGACGGUAAAGUACAACUAGGUAAAAUAUGUGAACACAUAGUACAUCACAAUCAGUAAAUAGUAUAACUAGCCUCCACUUCUUGUACGAUAGAAGCUAGCAAGUUCAAAUAGUCUAAUUCAAUAGUUGAUCAUUUGAAUUUUCCUCAUGAUUCAACACCAACAGCAGC